ACGAACGCUGGCGGCGUGCUUAACACAUGCAAGUCGAACGGAAAGGCCUGCUUUCCCUUGUGGAUUGCGGGUACUCGAGUGGCGAACGGGUGAGUAACACGUGAGUGAUCUGCCCCCAACUUGGGUAUAAGCCUGGGAAACUGGGUCUAAUUCCCGAUAGGACUGCAGGGUGGUGCCUGUGGUGGAAAACGAUUUUCUAGUGGUUGGGGAUGAGCUCGCGGCCUAUCAGCUUGUUGGUGGGGUAAUGGCCUACCAAGGCGGCGACGGGUAGCCGGCCUGAGAGGGUGGACGGCCACAUUGGGACUGAGAUACGGCCCAGACUCCUACGGGAGGCAGCAGUGGGGAAUAUUGCACAAUGGGCGGAAGCCUGAUGCAGCGACGCCGCGUGGGGGAUGACGGCCUUCGGGUGGUAAACUCCUUUCGACCGCGAGGAAGCCACCUGGUUGGAAGGGUGGUGACGGUAGUGGUAGAAGAAGCACCGGCUAACUACGUG
rnacentral:rRNA from 1 species